AUGAGAGGAACAGGAGCAGACUGCUGCUGGACAGACUCACUCAGCUCCUUCAGGUCCAUCUCGGCCUUGCUUCGAUCUGUGCUCUUAUCCAGGAAGUCCAUAGACUCUUCACUGGCGCUGAAGUGGCUGGAGGUGGCCUUCUUCUCAGCGUCCUGCUCCACAUCGGAGCCCGUCUGCACGGAGGAGUUUGGACUCAUGGGGGAGCGUGGCAUGUCAGACAAGGAGAUCCUGCAACCUGAGCCCCCUCUCAGCAUUGGCUUGCUCAUCAGGAUCUUGGGCGACACCAUCAUGUCAAAGCUGAGCUUGACUUUCUCCUGCUUGUCCAUCUUGGCAGCACCUGCGCUGGGGUUGGAGGGGUCAAGCAGCAUUUGGUACUGGCUCUUGGGCGUGUAGGGUAUCCUGAAUGGAGAGUAAUUAAAAACCCCAAACUUCCGGCGGAUGUUCUCCACGUAAACCUCCAUCACUUGCAUUGUACUGUUGAAGAUGCUUUUAGUCUUUUUCACAGAAAAAGGAAUUUCUUUAGACAUGAGGUAGCAAUUAUUUAUUGGAACCCAGGCUCUGUCAUGUCAUAAGAAACAGGUAUCCACCUGCCCAUCUUUAUCCCUCAGAGCUUUCGCAGGCCAGAAUGGAAACCCCUUCAGUUUUGCCCAAACCCAAGGAUGUGGAUUGCUACAAGGCUCACAAAACCAGUUAUCUCGUUUUUGGCAGGCAGCUAGAUAACACUCUGGACAAACUUCAAUUUCAUUCAUCUCAUGCUCACAGAUUUUGAUGACUACUUUUGCAAUUUGUGUCAUUUUGUGAUUUCUCCCAUUAUAAAUAAUGCAGUUGUGCCAAAUCCAUUUUGCAUCAGCCAGGAAGGCUUCUGUGCAGCCAUACAUUUUCUUUUUAGCAUUCUUUCCCAAUGUACAAAGGUCCAUGGGGUGGAAGAUAUAUUCUGCAUAGUCAGGAUGUCGCUCCAAUGGGACAGGCUUCUGAAAUGCAUCUGUCCCUGGCUGUUUCAUUUUCUGAAUGGUGAACUUGAGCAGGUAUGAUAACUGUUCGAUGGUGAGCAUCAUCAUGGCUUUACUCUGAGUCUCGAUGCAUUCUGCUACUGUGAUCUUCUCACAUUCAGGACAAAACCAGUCCCCCUCUGGUUCCGAUGUCAGUCUCAGACACAGCAUGAUAAACCCCGGGACAGAGCUCACAGCAAAGGACUUGGCCUUCCUGGUGACAAACCCAGCAGUAGAAAUCAUUUCGUCCAUCCUGCGGUACAACAUCAACAGGGUCUGUGGUGAGUGGCUGCUUCAUAUAGUAAAACGGACCAUGUCUUAGUUCUAACUGCUCCUUAUUGUUAUUGUUCAGUAAGCCAGGUUUCUUUUUCUUUUUAAUGGGACUUGUGCAUGUGUCCUGUGGUGAGUGGCCAUUGGAGGAAUGAGGAGGGCUGGGGAACUUUCUUUUCUGGACUGUUCUCUCUGUGAAGCCAGGAUCUUUGGAGCAGGUAGAAAUAUCCAUGCCGUCUACCACCUCCUGUUCUAUUUUUAUUUCCUCUUCAGCCAAGAUCAAAUCACAAAGUAGAAAAAUAUGCCUAGGCUAGAAGCAAAAGGCCUGGCUUCAAAACAUUCAAACCACCAGCAUUUAGCCCAGGAAUUAAGGUUAGGUUUUCCACACUCCCAGCCCCUGGGAUGUUUCUUCUCUGCAGCAGGCAUGGUUUAGAGAAAGCAUUCAGCACUCUUCUAAGCUGUGACUAAUUAUCCCCCACUACACCCCAUAUUUACAUUGUUAAAACCAAAACUGACAUAUGGGUUCCAGUUGAUUUACAAUGACUUUGACAAGAAAGCCCUACAUUAUAUGUUAGUAAAAAGAAAAUAUUAAAAAAUCUUAAACAUGUUAAAUGUUUUCUGAGAUUACUAAUUGCUGCCAUCUUAGACAUUAUUGCAGUUACCACUGUGGCAGUCGUAGCUGAAAUGGCUCUUCAUAAAUCUGUACAAACAGUUCAUGUUGUACAAAAUGGCAUAAAGAUGCCAAUGUCCUUUGAACCACUCAACAAAACAUUGAUGAGAUGCCAAUGUCCUUUGAACCACUCAACAAAAAAUUGAUGAAAAGUUGGCCUCCCACGUGGCCAACCUUCAACAGUCUGUAAAAGAUCAAUUAGUCAGUUUACAAAAACAAGUGAGACUAAGAUGUGAUUAGAACUAUACUUCCUU
rnacentral:lncRNA from 1 species